rnacentral:tRNA from 1 species
ACCCGAUGUAGCGCGGUAGUGGUACUAGGCUCUAAUCCAGCUAAUUGGGUUCGACUCCCGAUUGGGUGC